CGGACAUGAACAUAUGGAAGCUUCUCUGAGGUAUCAUUUGCUGAUUUUUUGCUCUUUUUGCUACUGCUUUCUUUCCCCUGAAUUCCACAUAAUUCAUUCAUCAAAACACAGACUUCGUAUAUAUCAAAUCAUAAUUCAUUUAGAAUUUAAACUUGAACACUACCAUUCUUUGUGAUAAACCAAUAAUGUAUCAUAAUGAAGUAGUUAUAUAGAGGUGAAAUUACAUGCUAACUUAGGCGUUUGGACAUAAGAAUUGUGAAAUUCUGGAAACAAGUGGGAAAAAAAAAUCAAGUGAAACUAGUAUUUGAAAAUUAGAGUUGUGUCUGGACAUCAAUAUUAUUUAGAGCUGUUUUUGAGUUUUUGAGUGAUUUGAAGUGAAUUUUGAAAAAUAAUUUUUUGGAGUUUUUCAAAUUUCCAAAAAAAUUUGGAAUAGUUUUUCAAUUUGAAUUUCUUUUGCCCAAACAAAAAAAGUGAAAAAAAUUGUAUGGCCAAACGGGCCCUAAAUUAAUUAUAAUGAAGUGAUACAAGUUCCUAUAUUAAAAAAAUAAAAAAAAUAAAAAAAAUAAAAAAACACGUCACAUAUAAUUUACCUUUUUCUGGCGUUCUUUUCGCUUUGUGGUUUUCUGAUCAAAAGUUGGAUUUGAAAAUUCGGGAGAAGAAUUAGGAUUGGAAUCAGAAUCAUCUGGUUCUUGCUUUACGAAUUGUGGAUUGGACGGAAAUGAGCCAUUCUCCGGCGAAUUCCCGGCGGCGAAGACUGAGAACUCUCGGGCGAAUUCUCCGGCGGACGCUCUGUCAAUCAGAGGAGAAGAGUAGUAGGUCUUGUUGUGAGUAUCUGGUAGGGAAAGUUUAGCUGAACCCAUUUCGUCAGAAUGUACUAAAAGGUCCAAAGCUUGAUUUGGUGGCAGUUCAAGUAAAGCAGUAAAAGAAUUUCCAGCAGCUUCCAUUGGUACUGGCAUUAUUAUGCUCUGGCUAAUUUGAUGAAACCCAGUUGCCGUUUCUCCUGCUUUGCCUCCGCAACUUGCGGAUCUAACUUGGGUUGACUCCAUUUUACAGCUUUUUGCGGCAAAUUUUCAAAAUAAGUAUGCACCAAUGGAUCAAAAUACAGUGCGAGUCCUUUCCAAUGACCAACUAUAUAUUAUAGUCUACUUAAAUCCGAGAAGUUGAGUAGUUUCAAGUCAAAGAGCUGUAGAAAGGGGUAAAACUUGGAUUAUACUUCAAGAUUUUCAAAUGGGGGUGGCAUGGAAAAGGAGUGAAAAUGAAGGGUCUAUAUAUAUAUAUGCUUCUUCUUCGUUUUUUUUUUUUUUUUUUGGGGGGGGUGGGGGGGGGGGGGGUUUCAGAAUUUUGUAGUAAGAUGGAGCUUAAGAAGCUUCAAUGGUGGUAAAUAUCUUUUCGUCUGCUAGAACUUGAUAAAAAGGCAUGCUGAUGCCGAUGCCGAUGCAGAGCAAGUAAAUUGUUUUUUGUUAUAUAUGGGAAAGCAACGUUUGCUUUGGUUCUCUCUCUCCCCCCUCUCUUUUAAAGGCUACAUAAGCUGGAGGUUAGUACUUAGUAGAGGUUUAUUUCUAAGGAUUUGAACCUCAAUUUUUAAUUCUUAAAUAUUUAGAUUUCUUUUAUGAUAAGUGCUAAUUAAGUUAAUUCUUUUUAUGAAGUAUUCGAAAUCAGCCUCAAAGUUAUUAAAAAAACGAUUUGAUCCAAAGCAUAAUUAUUAAAAAAUCACCAAAAAUAAGAAAGAAAAACCCAAUUGUUUUCCCACUGCUUCUUCUUCUUCCACAACUAGCAAUUGGGAGUUAUAUAAAAAGGUUUAGGCUGAAUACAUCUCCAGCCCCUUAAACUUGUCCCUUUUUUUCAUUUAGGCACUUGAACUAAACUAUGUUCCUAUUAAACACCCGAACUCAAUAAAAAUAUAUCAAUUAGACACAAAUUGUUGACAUGUUAAAGUGAGCGUAAUUCACCUCCUUUGAGAGCGUGAAGUUAUGUUUCUCUUUCUCCUUCCUCCAUCUCCGAUCCGCUGCAUCCCUAUACUUCCAUAACACUAGCUCCAACACCAUCUUGCCCACCUCCACUAUUAUAGUCAUUAUUCCCAUUUUUUUGAACCACCAGAAAGGCCAUUGUCCACCAACAAUGGAAACUACCGUCCAACUCCACCAUCACCAUUUUUAUUGAAAAUUUAUUAUGCAAAUGUGUAGGUUGAAUUGGGGAAGCCACAUGGAUUCAAUUUCAACAAUAUUUCACAUUCAAACCAAAUUGGAAUCUAAUAAGAACCAAGUUAGAUACACCAAAAAUUCAUUUUUUGUAGGAAGAUCAAUAACCCAAUUGGAGAAUUGAAAAGCUAUUUGAUAGUAGGAUCUCAUUAAUAAUCGAUUCUUCUUCACAUUUUAUAUGUCAAGUGGCAAUUUGAUAAUUGGGUCUUCUGAAAUUGCCCCAACUUUUGUAAAUAGAGAAGACGAGUUUGAAUGGGAUGUGAUCAGUGCUAGAGGGAGCAUUUGUUGUUGUGGAGGAGGUGUCGAGUGGAGGACAAAACAGGGGUGGUGGAUGCCGGAGGCAGAGUUCUAAUUAGCGAUAGUGUGGCUGGAGGUCGUCGGUUGUGAUCCUUUUAUGCCGCUCCGUCAAGUGCCUUUACCGGUGGCAUCGUCGCCUCAAAACUUAUCACCAUAGAAGUUUCUGUAGUUUUUUAUGUGGGUUGUACUCCCUGAAUAAGAAGAAGAAGAUCCACGUUUUUUCUUCUUUCAAUUUUUUUUUGCUGAUGUGCCUUUUCUUUAUUGGUUUUAUUCCAUGUCAUCCGCGUGUAUACUUUACCCGUUUAGAUUUUAGGGUAGGUUGUUUGUAAGUUUAAUAGAUACAAUUUUUAACAAGAUAAAGUGUUCAAUAGGAAUCGGGUUUAGCUCAAGUGCCUAAAUGAAAAAAAGGGACAAGUUUAAGGGGCUGGAGAUGUAUUCAGCCAAAGGUUUAUAUUAUUA
rnacentral:lncRNA from 1 species